rnacentral:misc_RNA from 1 species
GAUGAAGAACGCAGCGAAAUGCGAUACGUAAUGUGAAUUGCAGAAUUCAGUGAAUCAUCGAAUCUUUGAACGCACAUUGCGCCCGUCAGUAUUCUGGCGGGCAUGCCUGUUCGAGCGUCAUUACGCCCCUCAAGUCCCCUGUGGACUUGGCGUUGGGGAUCGGCGAGGCUGGUUUUCCAGCACAGCCGUCCCUUAAAUUAAUUGGCGGUCUCGCCGUGGCCCUCCUCUGCGCAGUAGUAAAACACUCGCAACAGGAGCCCGGCGCGGUCCACUGCCGUAAAACCCCCCAACUUUUUAUAGUUGACCUCGAAUCAGGUAGGACUACCCGCUGAACUUAAGCAUAUCAAUAAGCGGAGGA